UACAGAGGUCUCAAGCGUUGUUCGGAUUCAUUGGGCGUAAAGGGUGUGUAGGUGGCGCGCUAAGUCGGGUGUGAAAUUUCGGAGCUUAACUCCGAAACUGCAUUCGAUACUGGCGUGCUUGAGGACUGGAGAAGAGACUGGAAUUCAUGGUGUAGCAGUGAAAUGCGUAGAGAUCAUGAGGAAGACCAGUGGCGAAGGCGGGUCUCUGGACAGUUCCUGACACUGAGACACGAAGGCCAGGGGAGCAAACAGG
rnacentral:rRNA from 1 species